rnacentral:tRNA from 2 species
GCGGGUGUGGCUGAAGGGUUAGGCGGCGGCCUGCAAAGCCGUUUAUACGGGUUCGAGUCCCGUCACUCGCUCCA